rnacentral:lncRNA from 1 species
GGGAGGUGAAGCUUGAAUAUAAAUAUUUACAUGAAUCAAUACAUUUGUUCUUGUUUCAAAAAACAUAUUUAAACGUUUCGACAACUUGUCUUAAUAUAAUCAAUUUAUUACCUUAUAAAUAAAAAAAAUAAUAAAAUCUCCCCUAAAUAGUGUUUAAUUUGUUCUUGUGUUGUUCUGUAGAACCUUUGUCCCUAGUUUAGCUGAGAUUGAGGACACACUAACUUGUUGUACCACACCAUAAUAUUCGCAUGUUUUGUCCCAAGUCAGGAGUCUGUAAUUUAGUAGUUUUUAGUCUUUGUUUGUGUAUAUCAUAUUUAUUUUUUCUUAUUUUUUGUACAUAAAUCAGGCCGUUAGUUUUCUUGUUUGAAUUGUUUUACGUUCUGUGUUUUUUAUUUUAAAAGGGGGGUCUUUUGUAGAUAUUUGUGUCUUUACUUAUUGGUGAUCUGCACAGUGACAUAAAGUUGCACGUUUUGGUCAUGCUUGAAUGAUACCACUUUCUUGGAAUUUCUGAAGCAAGAUAUUUAAUCCUUUGAUACUCUCUCUCGCCAUUUUUUUCUUUAAAAAUACUAUGUCAUCUGUAUUGAGGAAGAACAUAUAGGUUUACAACAACUCAGGAC